rnacentral:lncRNA from 1 species
CUUGACAUCAGAGCAUUUCGUGGCGCUCCAGAGCCUGCUGAAGGCCUCCUCAAAAGAUGUCGUCAGACAGCUGUGCCAAGAAAGCUUCUCCAGUUCAGCCCUUCACUCAAAAACACUCCUGGAUAACACAUGUUCCAGCUUGUCUGUGACCCAGGAGGAGGCAGAGCAAGUAAGUGUGGCGAGAAGAGCCCUGAGCCGCAGCCCUGACCACUUGCUAACCCCUUUCUUCACUCCCCAUCGGGCGAACGUCCAAAGACCUUUUCUCCUUACACAUCUGUUGACACUGUGGCAAACUGCAGACAGAUUUUUGAAAAUAUUAAUGAACUCUGAGGCCUUUGACUUUGAGCCUUUCCUUAUGACACAUAAGCCUCCUUAUGAGAAAUAUAACCAGAGUUCUAGGUGUCGUUCA